rfam:Planctomycetes bacterium RIFCSPHIGHO2_12_42_15 rifcsphigho2_12_sub10_scaffold_31551, whole genome shotgun sequence.
UAACUGAUGAAAGAUCAGUCGCGGAAAUUGACUGUUUAGCCGUGUAGUUAUAUUCGACAUCGCUAUGAGGUGACGCAAGUGAUGAAAGUUAGAAAGUAAAAGUCCUUGCUGGAGAAGGGCAAGCAAUCCAUCGGGCUAUAGCAUAA